GGAUCGGUAGGGGAGCAUUCCACUCAGCGUUGAAGGCGAAGCGUGAGCUUUACUGGAGCGUGUGGAAAAGCAAAUGUAGGUAUAAGUAACGAUAAAGGGGGUGAGAAACCCCCUCGCCGCAAGACUAAGGUUUCCUGAUCAACGCUAAUCGGAUCAGGGUUAGUCGGGUCCUAAGGCUCAGCCGAACGGUGAGGCCGAUGGCAGAACAGGUUAAUAUUCCUGUACUACCUAUAAGAGUGAUGUGGAGACGGAGGAGUGACAACGCCGCGGACUGACGGAAUAGUCCGUUAAAGGGUGUAGAUGUUGAUUAUCCCAGGCAAAUCCGGGAUAAGAGUCGAACCUGA
rnacentral:rRNA from 1 species